rnacentral:rRNA from 1 species
UGGGGAAUUUUGCGCAAUGGGGGAAACCCUGACGCAGCAACGCCGCGUGAGUGAUGAAGGCCUUCGGGUCGUAAAGCUCUGUCAGAGGGGAAGAAAUGCAGGGGUGCUAAUAUCAUCUUUGCUUGACGGUACCCUCAAAGGAAGCACCGGCUAACUCCGUGCCAGCAGCCGCGGUAAUACGGAGGGUGCGAGCGUUGUUCGGAAUUAUUGGGCGUAAAGCGCGUGUAGGCGGUUUGGUAAGUCUGAUGUGAAAGCCCCGGGCUCAACCUGGGAAGUGCAUUGGAAACUGUCGGACUUGAAUACGGAAGAGGGUAGUGGAAUUCCUAGUGUAGGAGUGAAAUCCGUAGAUAUUAGGAGGAACACCGGUGGCGAAGGCGGCUACCUGGACCGAUAUUGACGCUGAGACGCGAAAGCGAGGGGAGCAAACAG